rnacentral:rRNA from 1 species
GUUCCUGGCUCAGGAUGAACGCUAGCUACAGGCUUAACACAUGCAAGUCGAGGGGCAGCAUGGUCUUAGCUUGCUAAGGCUGAUGGCGACCGGCGCACGGGUGAGUAACACGUAUCCAACCUGCCGUCUACUCUUGGCCAGCCUUCUGAAAGGAAGAUUAAUCCAGGAUGGCAUCAUGAGUUCACAUGUCCGCAUGAUUAAAGGUAUUUUCCGGUAGACGAUGGGG